CCUGGUGCAUGCCGAGGUCGUCACUCACCUCGUUAAUCAAGUGGCAAAACACUUAGACGCCAACGACGACGUCUACGCUCUCGCCGCUUAAGGCGUAAGCCCCGAACCCACUUGUGCCCGUGCUCGUGGAUGUAGGGUCACUAUCGCGGGAUCGCGCCGGCUGCUGCCUGUCUGCCGGCGUCAAAACACAACCGGCUGGUCCUGCGGUGCGCCUCGCGCAUCGUGUUGCCGUGGGACGAGAUCAAACGGUGCGCUAAGCAUGUAGUACCGGGGACGUAGUGCCUUCGGACGGGGGUUCGAUUCCCCCCGCCUCCACCA
rnacentral:tmRNA from 1 species